AAGGGCUCUCCUCAAGCGGGUGGAAGGAGGGAGGCCUCCCGAGGGAAUGAGACUCCAGGCCACUCCCCCGCAGCAAGGCAGGAUCACCUGCGUCGCGGAGAGCAGUUAGAGGUCCCUGGAGUGGAAAAGGGCAGUGGGACCUGGUAGCUUGGGUUCCCUGCAACUUGGGGUUCGACCUCCAGGCAAUGAAGUAGGGAUGGUCCUGCAAGUCAAGAUUCCAGUAGCAAGAGUGCAUCAGAUCUCUGUAAGGAAAAUAACUAACAUUGCUCAGUUCCCUGUAGAGUUGCAGGGCGCUUUGACGUUAUCUCCCUUGGUUCUCCAUCAGGUCGUAGUGGACUAAUUUUACAGGCGAAGUUAAGUGACUUACCCAAAACCUCACAGCUAAUAAACGGCAGAGCCGGCACCCAGCUGUACUGGCUUCCAGCGCAUCCCAUUAUCUCCAUAAAUCCCCCUGAUUCAACUAAUAUUAGACGCCCCACAGGUAAGAUGCUUCAGAGUUAGAGGGGAGUUGAAGAUACCUUUGCCUUCAAAGAAGUAAGGAAUGAAACAAAGAUAAAACAGACAAUAAAAGACAAACCAUGAUAGGUGCCACGUGAAAAGUGGCAGAGUACUGCCGGGAAUCAAAGAACCGUGUAUAUCUGUCUUGGGGAUAAGGAAAGAAACGCAGCAUGAAGGAGUAGGCAUUUGGGAUUGACCUUGAAGGAGACAGGGAGAGUUUUACAGCAAGAAGGGAUAGCAUGAGAAUAUAUAUGAAGGCGAAUCAGUGAAAGUUGUGUUGGGGAAAGAGCAAAGACUCCAGGUAUGUUGAGAGGUAGAAAAGACAAAGGAGUAUGGGGCCUAAGAUACCAAAUGGAUGAAUUUAUAUUUAAUUCAGUAUUUUGAGUUUUUAUGGUUCAGAAGUUUGGGGGAAGAAAAGGAAGGUUUUUUUUUUCUUUAUGCUAGUGAUUUAUCUGUGAAGGGAAGCAGAAAUCAGAGGUGGAAAAACUGACAGAUCUACUGUAGGCCAGGUAAAAGGUAAUGAUGAGUCUGACCUAAAGGGACAGCCAGGGGAAUUUAAAGAGCAUAGUUGAGAGAUGAUGUGCAUGCAGAAUCUAUAGAAUUUGCUAACUGAUUGAUUAAUUGUGGGUAGGAAGAGAGAAAUCAAAGAAAGUGGAGGUUUUGAGUUUCUAGAUAAUUGCAAGAGAGAAAAGAGACAAUUACAAAGGAAAGGAGAAGGAGCUACUUCUUGAGAGAAGAUCAGUUUAGAUUUAGACAUUUUAAGAAUUCAAAGGGUUGUCAAGACAGCCAGACGGACAUGGACACUAAUAAGUUAGAAAUAAAGGUUUUGUAAUAUGGGAAAGAGGACUGAGCUAGAAAAUAGACUCAUAGAUAAUCAGCCUAGGAGUGAUAUUGCUGUGAGAUAAAAGAAGAAAACAAAGUCAGAAUCUUGGAAAACACCCUCUUCAGAGUCUCGCUGCUCAAAACGUGGUCAGUGGCCCAGCAGCACUGACAUGAGGACCUUAGUUGGAAACUCAGAAUCUCAGGCUCCACCCCAGACCUGCUGAACCAGCAUCUUCAACUUAACAAGAACCCGAAGAGAUUUGUGCCACAUCAAAAAGUUUGAGAAGCUCUGAUCUAGGUGAGCCAAGCCAGCAAAGAAAGGGGGUGGAGCAGAAAAUGGGAGGAGAAUAGGGUAAUGCAGAAUCAUCAAGACAAGGUAAAUUGGACUUUCACAAAAACGGGGCUGGAAGGAGUGUUGCUCAACAAUAUCCAAAACCACAGAGGUUGAAAAGCACAAGGAAAGAAGCUGGACCCUGGACACGGUGACUCUGAUUCAAUUAUGCAGAUGACCACAAGCCUCUGGGGUUGGCAGAGCCACAAGAAAGAAGGUGCCUGGAUGAAGGAGAGCUACCCACUGACCUGGACACCCAAUUAUUCAUCUGUCUUAGAGCUAUUGGAAUCCUGGAUCAUUGUGGGAAAUGAAAAAUACUUCGAUGGAAUCAGCAGCCAUUGAUCCAAUGCCAACUCCAAGACUGGAACGUCGCAAUGAUAGUUCCAAGGCGGAAAUUUGACGUAAUUCUUUUCGACACAGUUUUACAGGUGUGACACCAUGAAGUCGUCCCACAUUUCCCACAACCUGAAUUUGGGAUGACAGUCGACUGAGAUUUUGUAAACUGAUUAUCAUCUGUUUCUGUUUUAUUCUCAUUACCUAACAUAUGCCCACUGGGGGGUGCUAAAGAACUAUGAAUUGGAGGUCUGGAUGCCCAUUUUAAUUCUUCUGAAAGCAUGCCUCCUUCUGGCUUCAGGACUCCAUCUCCAGCCUUAUGAUCUAAAAAUAAUCCCCAAACCAAAAAAUUAGAUAUUAUUUCCUCAAAAUUAGGUGUUUUAAUCAAAACAUCUUAACAUAAAUACAUUAUUAUCACCCAAUAUGCAUAAUGUUGUUCAACUUUUUUGUUAAAUGACUUAUUUUAGAUGAACAGAUGUGUGAAUAUGAAUAUUUUUAUUUCACUUACAGGCAUCUUGCAUGUGAAUAACUCACAACUUUAAUUCAUGGAACAAAUUGAGAAAUAGUCUUUUGGGGGUUUGGUACUCCCUGGAAACAUAAGAGUGCUUUGGGCACCUCUGGUGCCUUUCCAUGCCUGCCUUCUCUGCUGUUCUUGCUACUAGUGAAUUCUAAAUCAUGGCCAAGUGAUGCCAGCACUGGAUAAUAUUGGCUCUGCCCCAUAUCUCGAGGGAAAACUCUGGGACUUGGCAUUAUAUGUGUGGGAAUCUGGCCUUGGUUGGCACUCCCAGCAUGAUAGCAGGGUUCUGCUGUCUGAAUGUACUCUGGGGUGUGCGCCACAAUUUCUGUCAUCGAAAUGGAGAUGAGAGAAUAUGCCCUUGGUGGGGACACCCCACUGGAAUUAGAGUGAAGAGAUCAAAGCUAGAGGUUCUUAAAUCAAAGAAUGUCUAAUAGCAAAGACAAAAACUUGCUUAAGAGAAAUGCAUACAGGUACUAGACCUAAUAUGAUGAAAAAUGCUAACUUCAACAUAUUGAUGCAUGCUUAGUAUACUUUUAGUCCUGCAAAGACAAAAGUUUUUUGUUUGUUUUUUUUUGAGACGGAGUCUCGCUCUGUCGCCCAGGUUGGAGUGCAGUGGUGUGAUCUCGGCUUACUGCAAGCUCUGCCUCCUGGGUUCACACCAUUCUCCUGCCUCAGCCUCCGGAGUAGCUGGGACUACAGGCGCCCGCCACCACGCCCGGCUAAUUUUUUGUAUUUUUAGUAGAGAUGGGGUUUCACCGUGUUAGCCAGGAUGGUCUCGAUCUCCUGACCUCAGGUGAUCCGCCUGCCUUGGCCUCCCAAAGUGCUGGGAUUACAGGCAUGAGCCACCGCACCUGGCCCAGUCCUGCCAAGACAAAGUUUUAAAACACAGGUUGCACAUUGGCAGCUCUCAAGCCAAAUCUGGCCCAUAGACAUGGUUUGCUUGGCCUAUAAUGUUAGUAAUACUUGACCCAAGAUUUAAAAUUUGAAAAGUUUCAUAUAAAAAUAUAGAUUUACAGCUUUUCUAGAAAAACUAUAAGAGUUAACAGUUUCUGAAUUGCAACAGCAGCUGGAACACCGUUGCCACUGACCAUUUAGAUGACUGCUGCAGUCCCCACGGCUCACUCUGGUUCAGGUAGGGGUUCUAGUUUGUAACCCCUGGUUUAAAACAUAACUGACUCUCUAGUUUUUAAAAUUCUCUCAAAAUCAAAUAACCUGAACUAGCAAAUGAUCUAGAUCCUCGUACAUGGAACUCAUACUAAGUUGACCACAGACAGUGGCUCCCAAACUCUGCAGUACAUCAGAGUCACUGGGAAGCUUUAAAAAAUCCUGCUCCCUAGCUGGGUGCAGUGGUUUAUGCCUGUAGCCCCAGCUACUUGAGAGGCUGAGGUGGGAGGAUUGCUCAAGCCCAGGAGUUUGAGGCUGCAGUGAGCCAUGAAUGUACCACUACACUCCAGCCUGGGCAACAGAGCAAGACCCCAACUCUAAAAAAAAAUCCUGCUCCCCAGGUGACAGUAUCUGGGGGAAGGAGUAAGGCAUCUUAUUUUCAAAAGAUCAUAAGAAAAGAGGCUCAUUGCUGAGGCUCACUCCGGAGCCCACUUGGAUUCUUCACAAGAAAGUUUCCCUCUUCCAGAAUUUUAUAAUUGAGGGAACCGACUAGGGAAAGAUUAAUUUGCCCAAGGUCAAACAACUAGUAAAAGAAGUAAGGAUUCCAACCCAGAUCUUUUGACUCUAUUAUCCUUACAUAUAGUUUUAUAGUGAUUUAAAUUGAUACAAGGAUAGGUUUAAAUACAAGUAGAAUGCAGGUUCAUAUAAAACUGAUUUUAUCCUCAUGUUAGAAAACAUAUACACUGUAACAGAGGGAUGACCAUCAAGUGACCAAGAUAUUUUAGUCAAAAGAUGAAUUUUUCUGCAAUUGGAGAAUGCCAAAAAUAUUCAAAGAAAAUAUAAGUCUUGUAGGCAGUCUUCUAUCAAAACCCACUGAACCGCUGGGCACGGUGGCUCAUGCCUGUAAUUCCAGCACUUUGGGAGGCCAAGGCUGGUGGAUCACCUGAGGUCAGGAGUUUGAGACCAGCCUGGCCGACAUGGUCUCUACUAAAAAUACAAAAAAUUAGCUGGGCCUGGUGGCGGCACCUGUAAUCCCAGCUACUGAGGAGGCUGAGGCAGGAGAAUUGUUUGAACCUUGGAGGUAGAGGCUGCAGUGAGCUGAGAUAGCACCACUGCACUCCAGCCUGGGUAACAAGAGUGAAACUCCAUUCAAAAACAAAAAACAAACAAAAAAAAAACAAUGCACCAAAUACUAAGUUAUUAACUAGGAUACUGAUUAUUAAGCAUGUAAAACAUUUUAUGGAACUCAGAGUUUGAUGUAAAUUGCUAUAUUUUAUAAUUCAAACAAACCUUGUUUCAUGUCAUUAUAUUAGAGUAGCAUUAUGAGACAGGAUAUAGUGUAAGCUAUAUCCCCAAUAUAAUUGCAACUGUAUAUUUUAAAGCAUGGGGAAAAUAUGAAAAGAAUUAUGCUCAAAUGUGGGUAGGAUUAUAACUGAUUUGUUUUCUUCAUUUUCAGAUUUUUCUAUAAUGACUAUACAUUAUUUUUAUAGUCAAAAAUAGAAGUAUUUUAAAUGUUUCUAGGUAGAAUAGCAAAUUAGCUGAAAUAGUAUCUCCAACGUUAUUAUCAAGACUAGACUCCUUGGGUAAAUUGGUCAGAACAGUGUUGUUCUCAUUUUACACCUCUCCAAGAUUAACUAUGUUUUAGAUUUGUGUGUGUGUUUGGUUAAAGAGCCAGGAUGAAGAUCCAGAGUUCUUAAACCUGUAUACCACCAUACUACAUUGUCAUUUUAAAGAAAUGUCUAGUAGACUCGGUGGCAUAAACAUGGGCCAUUUACAAACUAGAUGUCUAAUAUCAGAUACCUCAAAUUUGACAGUAGACUUUUUUUCAAAGCUAAAGUGGUCUUAUGUUGACUAUUUUGUUUCUUACUUGAUACUUGUUUACUUUUUAAUUUUUGGCAAGUAAUGUUUCAAGUUAAAGUUUUAGCUAUAUAUAGCAGGCAGUAUUUCAAGUAAAUGAGUUACAUCAGUAAACACCUCUGUAUUACUAAACUGAGAAUCAGAAAAUGUAAUCUCUUUGGCAGGAUUCGUAUGUUUGUAUCACGUCUUUAUCCUCAGGCAACUUUUAUCUUGGAAUACUGAACCAGCAGUCAGAAUAUGAGGGACAUUAGACUGUGUUAUAGUUACUGUUCUGUCCUUAAGUCACUUGCCUUCUCUAAGUGUCAGUUGCCUCAUCUGAAAAUGGAGUUAGCAGACCCCAGCCUAUCCUGAGUUUGAGGGCUAAAGGGAAUUAUUCUUGAAAAUGUCUAUACAUGAUAAAUGUCACAAAUAUAACUUAGCAUUUUUUUUUUGAGACAGAGUUUCGCUCUUGUGGCCCAGGUCGGGGUGCAAUGUCGUGAUCUCAGCUCACUGCAACCUCUGCCUCCCGGGUUCAAGCGAUUCUCCUGCCUCAGCCUCCUGAGUAGCUGGGAUUACAGGCAUGCACCACCACACCUGGCUAAUUUUGUAUUUUUUAAUAGAGACGGGGUUUCACCAUGUUGGUCAGGUUGGUCUCGAACUCCUACCCUCCGGUGAUCCACCCGCCUUGGCCUCCCAAAGUGCUGGGAUUACAGGCAUGAGCCACCGCACCUAGCCAAUUCUACUUCUAUUACAUUUUCAGCAUAUAUCACUUCAUUGCUCCUCCAUAUUAUUUUUCACUGGUCUUCUUACAUCUUGUGUGCCCAUAUUUAAGUAGUUUUCUUUCCAGGUAAAAAAUACAUGUGUGCCUAAAAGAUUUUAAAGUCAACUUUUCAUAAACCAUACCUAAAUUAUCAAAGUUAUUAGAAUUAUUAGAAAGUAUUAGCUAAUUCUUUUAUAAAAUGUAGACUUUAUUAUUUUAGAAAUAUUGAUUCCUCUCUAUUCAGCUAUCUUAAAGAGGGUAUAUUUUAAUCAUCGCAAUAUAUUACCUUCAUAGUAUUUUUUACUUUUGCAAAGUAUAUUUUGUCAUGUUAUUUCAUUUAGGAAUGCACUAAAUCUACAUAUCUACAUAUGAUUAUACAAGGAAACAUCUUUGUCUCAAAAAUGGGUUCUAUUACAUUUUUUAAUUUCCAGGGGUCAUGAUAUAUAAAAAGACCUGAUUUAUCUUAAAAAUACAUACUUUUAUUCUUACCUACCAUACAUCUUUUUUUGUGAUAAUCAGAAGGCUUAAUUUACUAUAAAAUAGGAAAACAACAGCUAUGUUAGAUUAUAUAGUUAAUUUAGGGAUUAAAUGAGUUAAGGUCUACAAGCCCCUGGCACAUGGCAGACAAUCAAUAAUUGAUCAUUUCCUUUGCAUCUAUAAAUUUGUUCAUUCACUUCUCAUGUGGUUCUACCUUAGACAACGAUUUUUGUUUACAGAGACAAAUAGAAGUAUCUAAUCCUAAAUAACCCAAUCAAUUGGUAAAGGCUACACUACAAAGCUGGCAUGACUUCACCAAAUGCUAGAGAAACAGUGUUAAGAGUGACAACACUAAAAGUCUUACACUCUGAUGAUGCUAGUUGCCGCCGAAUUGCUUCCCCUACCAGUUCCUUAAGUUUCUUCUUAUGAUCCCGGCUGGUUUUCUUAUAGAAAUAAAGAUCUUUUUCCAACUGCUGGAUUUUAUCUUCAUAUGUUUUGAAAGUUUCCAUAAUGCCUUCUCCAUCUUGUUCUAUACAACAAAAAUUUGCAUUUAAAAUCAGUUUUAAAUAAAUGAUGCAAAAUUAUGUUUUUGUUUGUUUCUUUGUCUUUUUGAAACGGAGUCUUGCACUGUCGCCCAGGCUAGAGUGCAGUGGCGUGAUAUGCUCGGCUCACUGUAAGCUCCGCCACCCAGGUUCACACCAUUCUCCUGCCUCCGCCUCCCAAGUAGCUGGGACUACAGGUGCCCAGCACCACGCCCGGCUAAUUUUUUUGUAUUUUUAGUAGAGACGAGGUUUCAUCAUGUUAGCCAGGAUGGUCUCGAUCUCCUGACCUCGUGAACUGCC
rnacentral:lncRNA from 1 species